rnacentral:lncRNA from 1 species
AAAAAAUCUCUCUGUAAAGAGCCAGAUAAUAUAUUUUACACUUUGCGGGUUAUCCAAUUUCUCUUGCACUAUACAACUCUGCCAUUAGAGCAUGAAAUGAGUCAUAGAAAAUAGGUGAACAAAGGGCAUGGCUGUGUCCCAAUUAAACUUUAUUUAAAAGACAGUGGGUCAGACUUGUAGACUUUCCUUUGUCAAGUCCUGUUGUAGGUAGUCUGCUUUCUCUUCCCUUCACCCAUUUACCUUUUCAAAUGAAUAACUAUGUGGUUUUUUGGUUCUUAGAGAUAAGGUAUAGUUUUCUAUGCCAAGACAUGUGCUCUUCAUAUAUUUGUCCUUAGAAAGAACAGAAAAUUUGGAAUUAAUCCUGCAUCACUGAAGAGUUUUCCUUCAGAAACAAAAAUACUAAGAAUGAUAGAGAAUAAGUGAUUAUUUAUAGAAUUUGAGCACACUCAUAUGGGAGUUGGCUAAAUAGUCUGUGUGAGGCUUUUACUUCAGUGUUGGAUUGAAGUCUGCCAAUCAUGAAUUGAAGGAGGAAACAGGCAAGAAGGAGGAGAAAGCAAAGACAAACCAGAACACAAGAAAAGGUACUGGAAACCCACCUCUAGGUCUCUCCACCUUUAGUGAAGCAGGGGACUUCCAAAAUCCAGCCCCUGCCCUAUGCCUGAGUCACAUAAUACAGAUAUCUGGCAGGUGCUAGAGAGGCUUCAGGCCUGGGACAGGCAAGCUUCCUGUUCUCGCUAGCUGACCAUGGCUUCCUCUUCAUUUCCUCUGCAGAGCUCACUUGAAGCCAUUCAUAACCCUGAGCUAUGUAGGAGAAAAAUUCAGGGGAAGUUUCCACACAGCUAUAUUGACAGAGUACCACAAAUUCUGUAGCUGAGUUACAGGAUCACCUGGCAAGGAAUUCAGAGACAAUGUCAAUCAGUGUCAUUCAAAUUUAAUCAUGCUACCUUACUUCA